rnacentral:rRNA from 1 species
AUUGAACGCUGGCGGCAGGCUUAACACAUGCAAGUCGAGCGGGGAAGGGUAGCUUGCUACCUGACCUAGCGGCGGACGGGUGAGUAAUGCUUAGGAAUCUGCCUAUUAGUGGGGGACAACAUUCCGAAAGGAAUGCUAAUACCGCAUACGCCCUACGGGGGAAAGCAGGGGAUCUUCGGACCUUGCGCUAAUAGAUGAGCCUAAGUCAGAUUAGCUAGUUGGUGGGGUAAAGGCCUACCAAGGCGACGAUCUGUAGCGGGUCUGAGAGGAUGAUCCGCCACACUGGGACUGAGACACGGCCCAGACUCCUACGGGAGGCAGCAGUGGGGAAUAUUGGACAAUGGGGGGAACCCUGAUCCAGCCAUGCCGCGUGUGUGAAGAAGGCCUUUUGGUUGUAAAGCACUUUAAGCGAGGAGGAGGCUACUGGUAUUAAUACUACCGGAUAGUGGACGUUACUCGCAGAAUAAGCACCGGCUAACUCUGUGCCAGCAGCCGCGGUAA